rnacentral:ribozyme from 1 species
UGCCCAGCAACUCCUAUCCCUACCUCCUCGCGGUACCGGCCGGAAACUAUGAGCAACCUUAGGGAAGAUCGGGUAGCCAACCCCGGUGGGAACUUUGGUGGUUGGCUGACAGGGAAGG